rnacentral:rRNA from 1 species
CAGCAGCCACGGUAAAACGGAGGGUGCAAGCGUUAAUCGGAAUUACUGGGCGUAAAGCGCACGCAGGCGGUCUGACAAGUCAGAUGUGAAAUCCCCGGGCUUAACCUGGGAACUGCAUUUGAAACUGUCAGGCUGGAGUCUUGUAGAGGGGGGUAGAAUUCCAGGUGUAGCGGUGAAAUGCGUAGAGAUCUGGAGGAAUACCGGUGGCGAAGGCGGCCCCCUGGACAAAGACUGACGCUCAGGUGCGAAAGCGUGGGGAGCAAACAGGAUUAGAUACCACAGUAGUCCCUGUCUCUUAUAC